rfam:Parcubacteria bacterium GW2011_GWA2_47_12 TX81_C0012, whole genome shotgun sequence.
GGAGGGGUCGCAUAGAGGCCUAGUGCGGAAGUCUUGAAAACUUCUAACGGUUUACACCGUUCGUGAGUUCGAAUCUCACCCCCUCCG